UGGGUGUAGCUCAGGGGUACGGCACUUGCCUAGAACGCAUGAGGCCCUGGGUUCCAUCCCCAGCUCCACAG
rnacentral:tRNA from 1 species